AAGUGGAAAAGGAUGUGGCGUUGCCCAGACAACUAGGAUGUUGGCUUAGAAGCAGCCAUCAUUUAAAGAGUGCGUAAUAGCUCACUAGUCGAGUGACACUGCGCCGAAAAUGUACCGGGGCUAAACAUAUUACCGAAGCUGUGGAUUGUCCUUUGGACAAUGGUAGGAGAGCGUUCUAAGGGCGUUGAAGCAUGAUCGUAAGGACAUGUGGAGCGCUUAGAAGUGAGAAUGCCGGUGUGAGUAGCGAAAGACGGGUGAGAAUCCCGUCCACCGAUUGACUAAGGUUUCCAGAGGAAGGCUCGUCCGCUCUGGGUUAGUCGGGUCCUAA
rnacentral:rRNA from 1 species